AACUAUGUUAUGACGCAUGCUCCUUCCGUCAAGGAACAAUCAAGCUCCGACAAGCACUGAGAGUGUUUUACAUAUUUCGAGUUUGAUUUGCAUAAAAAUAAUUUGAUAUGCUCUUCUUGUUUGCUGGAUCAUUUUUUAGAAGGUUAUAACUUUUAA